CUGGUCGAUCGUUGUUUUCUUUAUUGUUUUGUUUUGUCUAAGAGUUUCACUUCAACAAUAAAUAUUAUGUGGAACUCAAGGAACGCUGCGCCUUGGGCUCAUCCUUCCGAGGACAGCCGUUACAAUGUCUUCAGACCGAGAAGGCUCUAGUCCAAAAUACUGCCAGUGGUCCUACAUUGACUAAUUUGUUUUGGUUCAAACAACAGCUCAGGCUUAUGAUACACGUAUCUCCCACAGGAUCAGAAGAAUCCAUCCUUUCAUUUUCUUAUAUGAGAUAAAAUGGGGGGUAGCUACUGGAGCCAAUACAUCAAUCAUUCAAUUAAAUUUGUUUUUCAAAAUGGUUGGUUGAUUGAUUUAUGUAGUUUUUUGCAGCCUUAGAGGAGCUGUUAUUCAACCACUCCUGUAAUAUAAGUUGGAUGAGAAGACAACUAUGAUGCAAACAAGGACAAGAGCUGGCAUGGCAUGUUGGAAGACUGAUGUGUAGUGGUGUGGCAGGGGAGUACACACUGGGAACUGAAACUACAACAAGGUCUUAGGAUGAAAUCCCAGCACCUUACGGUGGAAGUGUAGACAGAAGCACAAUGAUGGAGGAACAUGUUCUGGUCUUGUCCAGCACAGAGAGACUAACAGACAACGAGUCCAUACCCUGAACCGUUUCCCCUCGGUGGCUGAAAGGAGGAUCAGAGUCUUCAUUUCAGAGGAUUUUUCACUUUAGAUCAGAGCUUACUCUACAGACAGCUCAGUACAGAUGGGUGAUGGUGAAACAUAACUGGUCAUUAGAGCUGCUACAGCUUAACAGCAUGAAGGACUGACUCAUUCUAUCACCAUCACUGCUAUAGGACAACACCGUUGCUUUAUCCAGACAUACUGUAUCA